rnacentral:tRNA from 1 species
GCCCGUGUAGCUCAGGAGGUAGAGCACCCCCUUGGUAAGGGGGAGGUCGUCGGUUCGACUCCGAUCGCGGGCU